UUAUCUCUUGCUAUGUAUGUCUAACACUUGCCAUGUAUAAAAUUAAGACUCAAUCAAACUUAUUGUGCUGUUCAUGCUAUUACAAACCAGUUAUAAGUCUUAUUUGGUAGGUCACAUUCUGCAAAAGGGGAGGUGGAUUUUUAUACGACCGCAAAAAAAUUUGCGGUUGUAUAUUGGUAUCAUGUCAGCGUCGUCCGAAGACGGAUGGUUUCCAGAUAAUAACUUUAGUAUAAGUAAA
rnacentral:lncRNA from 1 species